rnacentral:sRNA from 1 species
GUCAAAUCCUCGAACAACUCAAACUACAGCGUCAACUUGAUCUACGGAAUCUUGAAAGUUUGCGAUGUCAAGGAGUUGGUCAUCACCAGAAAGGUAUCGAAUUUCUGAACAUAAGAACCUAAUUCAUUAACAUUUCAGCCUGGAAAGCCACAAGCCGACAAGUUGAUCAUCCAGUACUGUAUGGUGGAAGAUGAGAACGCGGAUCCAAAACCAUUGUUCGCAAAUGGAGUGCCACCAGGAGAGCUUUCUGGAGAGACAGUCAUCAAGUUGUCUGCUGCCGAAUGAAUAUGACACCAAAGAAAAACAAGAUAUUUUUAAACUGAGCAUUGUAUGUAAAAAUGAAGAUUGGAAUUGUUGUUCUGGGUUUAUUUUUCUUUUCAUUAGUGUUGAUUCUCAGAGGGAAUUGUAAUCUGAAUCUGAAAAGCUUCAAUAUUCUUAAUCAAAAAAUGAGAUUGGCCUUGAAUUUUUUGGCUUCUCCACUGCAGGUUCUUCCGGUCGCCUGAAUUUCCUACGUGAUUCUAUUCGAUCGCGAGAAGAUUCAAGGUGACCAUCGUAAGAUGAAAUUUAACAUAGUUGUCGUAUACAUAGAUAGGUAGUUUUUAUAAUACAUAAGAAGCAGAAACUCUUCUGUUUCUGAAAAAAAAAUUGGGUCGGUCCAACGGAUAGACACUAUCUCGAGAACGAGUUUGGUUAAGAUAUUACUUAACUUUCUGAAAAUUUUAUUAUUUGUUCCUCAAUGCCAUUACUUCACAAAUUAAUAAAAUCACUUUAAUUUUCGUUUUCACAACUUUUCAAAUUUCCACGCGACCUUCCAUAUUCUCAAAAAAAAACAUCAGCUGAUAAAAUCUUAACACGUGUAAAACAGAACGUCCGAAUCAAUCGAUUAGAAUUUGUUCUGAUUUAAAACCAAGUCAAGUGCAGCCGCAAUGGGAGUCGAAAUUUCGUUGGAUCCACCAGUGUGCCCAAUCCAGGCCAAUGGAGGAGUUUCGAAGCACAAGAUGAUCAAUCAUACCGAUCGCCAUAUGGCUUAUAAGG